rnacentral:siRNA from 1 species
UUGGGCUUUUAUUUUGUUGUA